UUUUUAUUUUUGUUUAUAUUUAAUUCUCUAUGCAUACGACCAAAGAUUUGAUAUGACGGAAAAUCUUUAAAAUUUUUGCGAACUAAACAAGGCGUAAACAAAGACUUGGUGUGCACUCCUCGCACAUACAACCUCGCUCUCUGUACACCAUCUCGCCACAGUAGGGAGUCCCGGCCUCGGCAUCACCUCGCUCUCUCUACACCAUCUCUCUCGGGAACACAUUCACGAUGUGCAGCAAUUUUGAGGUCAAGGGAUCGACACAUUUACGUACGGCCUUGGCAGUGCGGGCAGGACAGUGCACGUAUACCCAUGCAGUCAUGCAUGUGUGUAUAUCCCUCUCUCUCUCUAGGGUAUAUGUAGCUGUAAUGGUAGUACUAGCAGCACCGAAAAUUGCCUCUCAUCCGUGGAAAUUUGCAGGACGGUUGGCCGAGCAUUCAAAGCGCUGCCUGCAUGAACAUUAAUAACUCCUGUGGAAUCUUGCACGCUUGUAGAGAAGAGAUGGAGUUCCGUUGGCAAAUCCAGGAAUCUUGCACUACUGCAGAUUUUUUUUACAGAUCACAGUUAAUCAUGACCUUUGCCCGUCUCAGUUAAUGAAUUUAAAAACAAAAAAAACUCGAAACCCACCAGAGAGCCCAAUUCUAAACCCAUCAGCGAGCCCGUUUCCAGCGCUACUGCUAGCCACCUCGGUGUCGCGAUCCCUGCGUGCUCCCCGAUGCUGGAUCUAGAACCACGCUACCGCCCACACCGGAUCCACGCAAAGCCGCCACUGGUCGGGGUCGCACCGUCACACACGCUUGGAGAAGGCUAGCCCGCCGACGAGCUUGCCAUAUCCGCGACCCUCAAGGCUGGAUCUACGAGCCCCAUGGCCGGAGGGGCGCCAUCGUGGAAGAGGAGGUGGUGGAGAGUGUUGGGGAGGAGGGCGCCGUCACGAAGGGGUGAGGUCAAGCACCCGUGUCGCCGGCCCGCCAUGCCCGCGUGGUCAUGCCGCUGGGCGCGAGAUCCACACCUUGGAGGGGAGGGGGCAUCGUUGGACCAGAGGGAGGGAGGGGAGGGGGCGCCACCGGUCCAAAGGGAGGAGGGGAGGAGAGGGGGCGCUGCCAGACUAGUGGGAGGAGGGUAGGGGAGGAGGCACCGGGAUUGGGAGAGGAGGGGAUC
rnacentral:lncRNA from 1 species